rnacentral:sRNA from 1 species
AUGAAUGGCUGGAAGAUUUCAGGAUGUGAACCUGCAAGGUUCGACGGUGAGGCGUAGCCGAGCCGAACUGCGCCGUAUGCGGCGCUGGCCCGAAGGGCGAGGCGCAUAGCGCCGAGUAAUCCUGGUCCUCCAGCCA